rnacentral:rRNA from 1 species
GUCUUUUUGAUAAUAAUUUAAAGUCGAAUUUGCCCACUGAUUUUAUUAAAGGGCUGCAGUAAAUUGACUGUACAAAGGUAGCAUAAUCAUUAGUCUUUUAAUUGAAGACUUGUAUGAAAGAUUUGAUGAAAUAUAAACUGUCUCUUUAUUAUAAAUAGAAAUUAAUUUUUUAGUCAAAAAGCUAAAAUUUUUUUAAAAGACGAGAAGACCCUAUAGAGUUUUAUAAUUUAUUUAAUUGAAAAUUAUUAUUAAUAUUAUAUAAAAAUUAAAUUAAUUAUUUUAUUGGGGUGAUAAGAAAAUUAAAUUAACUUUUUUUUAAAUAAAUUCAUAAAUUAAUGAGUAGAUGAUCCAUAUAAUUAUGAUUAUAAGAAAAAAUUACCUUAGGGAUAACAGCGUAAUUUUUUUUUUUAGUUCAAAUAAAAAAAAAAGUUUGCGACCUCGAUGUUGGAUUAAGAUAUAAUUUAAAUGUAAAAGUUUAAAAUUUUGAUCUGUUCGAUCAUUAAAAUCUUACA